rnacentral:rRNA from 2 species
UGGCGGCAUGCCUUACACAUGCAAGUCGAACGGCAGCACGGGAGCUUGCUCCUGGUGGCGAGUGGCGAACGGGUGAGUAAUAUAUCGGAACGUGCCCUAGAGUGGGGGAUAACUAGUCGAAAGAUUAGCUAAUACCGCAUACGAUCUACGGAUGAAAGUGGGGGAUCGCAAGACCUCAUGCUCAUGGAGCGGCCGAUAUCUGAUUAGCUAGUUGGUGGGGUAAAAGCUCACCAAGGCGACGAUCAGUAGCUGGUCUGAGAGGACGACCAGCCACACUGGAACUGAGACACGGUCCAGACUCCUACGGGAGGCAGCAGUGGGGAAUUUUGGACAAUGGGCGCAAGCCUGAUCCAGCAAUGCCGCGUGAGUGAAGAAGGCCUUCGGGUUGUAAAGCUCUUUUGUCAGGGAAGAAACGGUCUUGGUUAAUACCUGGGGCUAAUGACGGUACCUGAAGAAUAAGCACCGGCUAACUACGUGCCAGCAGCCGCGGUAAUACGUAGGGUGCAAGCGUUAAUCGGAAUUACUGGGCGUAAAGCGUGCGCAGGCGGUUAUACAAGACAGAUGUGAAAUCCCCGGGCUCAACCUGGGAAUUGCAUUUGUGACUGUAUGGCUAGAGUGUGUCAGAGGGGGGUAGAAUUCCACGUGUAGCAGUGAAAUGCGUAGAUAUGUGGAGGAAUACCGAUGGCGAAGGCAGCCCCCUGGGAUAACACUGACGCUCAUGCACGAAAGCGUGGGGAGCAAACAGGAUUAGAUACCCUGGUAGUCCACGCCCUAAACGAUGUCUACUAGUUGUCGGGUCUUAAUUGACUUGGUAACGCAGCUAACGCGUGAAGUAGACCGCCUGGGGAGUACGGUCGCAAGAUUAAAACUCAAAGGAAUUGACGGGGACCCGCACAAGCGGUGGAUGAUGUGGAUUAAUUCGAUGCAACGCGAAAAACCUUACCUACCCUUGACAUGUACGGAAUCCUGAAGAGAUUUAGGAGUGCUCGAAAGAGAACCGUAACACAGGUGCUGCAUGGCUGUCGUCAGCUCGUGUCGUGAGAUGUUGGGUUAAGUCCCGCAACGAGCGCAACCCUUGUCAUUAGUUGCUACGAAAGGGCACUCUAAUGAGACUGCCGGUGACAAACCGGAGGAAGGUGGGGAUGACGUCAAGUCCUCAUGGCCCUUAUGGGUAGGGCUUCACACGUCAUACAAUGGUACAUACAGAGGGCCGCCAACCCGCGAGGGGGAGCUAAUCCCAGAAAGUGUAUCGUAGUCCGGAUUGGAGUCUGCAACUCGACUCCAUGAAGUUGGAAUCGCUAGUAAUCGCGGAUCAGCAUGUCGCGGUGAAUACGUUCCCGGGUCUUGUACACACCGCCCGUCACACCAUGGGAGCGGGUUCUGCCAGAAGUAGUUAGCCUAACCGCAAGGAGGGCGAUUACCACGGCAGGGUUCGUGACUGGGGUGAAGUCGUAACAAGGUAGCCGUAUCGGAAGGUG